rnacentral:rRNA from 1 species
GCCAAUGGUACUUCGUCUCAAGACGCGGGAGAGUAGGUCGCUGCCAGGU